UACAGAGACCUCAAGCGUUAUCCGGAAUCAUUGGGCGUAAAGCGUACCGACAGGUGGUCAUACAAGUCAGAAGUGAAAUCUCAAAGCUUAACUUUGAGUCUGUCUUUUGAAACUGUAUGACUAGAGGGGCAAAGAGGAAGCUGGAACGAACGGUGUAGUAGUGAAAUGCGUUGAUAUCGUUCGGAACACCAAUAGCGUAGGCAGGCUUCUGGGUGCCACCUGACACUGCUAGGACGAAAGCGUGGGGAGCGAACAGG
rnacentral:rRNA from 1 species